AUGGCGGAGUGGCGCCGACGCCACCCGGAGGACGUCGCCUACGAGCAAGGCUAUUGGGCAAGGCGUCGCGAGGAGGACACGCGAAGGCGCCGCGAGGCGCGGUUGGACAGGCGUCAGCGGAAGGCGUUGGCGAACGCGCAGACCGAUCUCGUUGCAGCAGGCGGGAGGUCGUUCUUCACGGAGAACGAUGAUCGUUGGUUGGACAUAUGGCUAUCAACCUCAGACGACACCGCAGAGGAUGAUAAUGGUGAUGAUGAUGAUAGCGACUUAGAGUAG
rnacentral:rRNA from 1 species